GACGUAGGGCGCGAGCGUUGUCCGGAUUUAUUGGGCGUAAAGAGCUCGUAGGCGGCUUGUUGCGUCGGAUGUGAAAACCCAGGGCUCAACCCUGGGCCUGCAUUCGAUACGGGCAGACUAGAGUUCGGUAGGGGAGACUGGAAUUCCUGGUGUAGCGGUGAAAUGCGCAGAUAUCAGGAGGAACACCGGUGGCGAAGGCGGGUCUCUGGGCCGAAACUGACGCUGAGGAGCGAAAGCGUGGGGAGCAAACAGG
rnacentral:rRNA from 1 species